UACGUAGGGGGCAAGCGUUGUCCGGAAUCAUUGGGCGUAAAGCGCGUGUAGGCGGCCCGGUAAGUCCGCUGUGAAAGUCCAGGGCUCAACCCUGGAAUGCCGGUGGAUACUGUCGGGCUCGAGUCCGGAAGAGGCGAGUGGAAUUCCUGGUGUAGCGGUGAGAUGCGCAGAUAUCAGGAGGAACACCGAUGGCGAAGGCAGCUCGCUGGGACGGUACUGACGCUGAGACGCGAAAGCGUGGGGAGCAAACAGG
rnacentral:rRNA from 1 species